GGUAACCAGGAUAAUUACAUGAACCAUUACAUUUAACAUAGUUUUCUAUGCACAUUUCUGGAGGACAUAAGCAAAAUCAGACCUGAAGACAGUAUAAAGGCUCUUAGAAGAUAGUAGCGGGGUAGAGGCGUGUUUUCAAAUUCUGUCCGUAAA